rnacentral:rRNA from 1 species
UACGAAGGGGGCUAGCGUUGCUCGGAAUCACUGGGCGUAAAGGGUGCGUAGGCGGGUUUUUAAGUCAGGGGUGAAAUCCUGGAGCUCAACUCCAGAACUGCCUUUGAUACUGAAGAUCUUGAGUUCGGGAGAGGUGAGUGGAACUGCGAGUGUAGAGGUGAAAUUCGUAGAUAUUCGCAAGAACACCAGUGGCGAAGGCGGCUCACUGGCCCGAUACUGACGCUGAGGCACGAAAGCGUGGGAGCAAACAGGG